UGGAACUUGCUUGGUAGAGUAACUCCCUUCAUGGACUCUGUUCUAACAUCACAACUGGAAUCAUACAACUCUCUGGCCAGAUACAAAUUUUGCCACGAGUUAUGCUGAUUCAAGGUGGUGAGGGGAGUCACCGAGUGAUUUAUCAACCCUUAAACAUUAGGAUGCUUGGAACUUGGAAAGGGGAGUCACUGAGUGGUUUAUAUUUUUCUCAUACUACUGAUAUCUGUCACUUGUCGUCUGACUGAUCUGUACAAGUUCCAACUAGCCUGAUCUAUCUGUUCUGUGUCUAGCAAUGUGACCUGAAUUAAUGUCUUUAUUAUUUCAAUAAUAGUAUAUUGUAAAUUAAUAUAAACAGCUCUAGUUACUGCAUAUUUAAUUUGAGUACAGACAUAUGCAAAUGGAAAUUUAAGGUUUCAAACU